GAAGAAUCUCCAGGUUUCCAGCUCUGUCACUGCUUAGCUCUUGCCACUGUGGCAUCUGGAGAGGGAACCAUUCAGUAGUCCUGGUAUCUGGUGUUCUUGAGAGCCUGAUUUUAUAAUCUGGUCCAGCUUGCUAAAAAUGGACUAAAUGUUGGGUAAGAAACACAGGAAGAGAAGUGGUCUUGUGAAGAGGCAAAAAAGCCCCUUUUCCAGUCUGUUUUCCACGUUGGAACCACAAAUGGAGACAGAGGUGCUUGGCUUACUGAAUAGUUUGGAUUCUACGGUGGCCACAGAGGAAAGAGUUUGACUUUCCCUUCCACCAAUGCCUUUCAGACAUUCACUGAAAUAUGUUUUCUUCCCUACUGGGAGUCCAUCUUCAAAAAAACCAAGAGCCGUAAUGAGAGAUGAUCACUGGCUUGGGCUCCACAGUUCUUCUGGUGCAGGUA